UACCCGCGGCCCAAGUGGUGCUUGAUAUUAUUGAGCCUAAAACGUCCGUAGCCGGUUUUGUAAAUCCAUGGGUAAAUCGAGCAGCUCAACUGUUCGAAUUCCGCGGAGACUGCAGGACUUGGGACUGGGAGAGGUCAGAGGUACUUCUGGGGUAGGGGUAAAAUCCUGUAAUCCUGGAAGGACGACCAGUGGCGAAGGCGUUCAACUAGAACGGAUCCGACGGUGAGGGGCGAAGCCCUGGGGCGCAAACGGG
rnacentral:rRNA from 1 species